rnacentral:siRNA from 1 species
UUAAGGGUGAAUUGCAAAAGU